UUUAAAAGCUUUAUUACAAAUAAAAUUAUAGUGAUUUUUGAAACAGAGUGGGAUCAAAAAAUGCACCUAAAUCUUUGAAAGUAUUUGUUGGUUCCAAAAAUAUAUUAUUUAUAGAGUAAUUAAAACAGAUAGAUUGUGAGUUUCUAAAAAAGCACAUUAUUUUACAUUUAUCGAUAUUAAGGGGGUCGUCUAGUGUCUCGGGUGAAAAAAAUCGAUUUAUUUUUUUUUGCAUAAAUAUUAUCUAAAAUAUGUGUAGAAGACGUGGGUAAAAGGAUUUUUCGAUAUUGAAAGUGGUUUAAAAGUUACAACCGUAUAUCGGAGCAGGUAUACGGAUAGCACGGGAGCCCGCUCGGCGGGGCGUGUCAGCGCUGUCACGUGACAGUUCUCGCAUCGACCGUUCAGAGAGACACUUGAGCGAUUUCGCAAAAGAAGCCCGGGUUUUAAAGAGAGAACAUAAAACGGCUUUGCAGAACUUUUUUGAAGAAGACGGUGAACUGUAUCGUCCAGGUAUAGCAGAUUUAUGAUAAGCAGAACAGCCGAAAUCAUGGCAGCAGUUGAGAAACUUUUUUUUUAUAUGUCUCCCUGUUGGCUGAUGUAAUUAAAAAAAAACACUAAGUAUAUCGACUUUAAAAAAUUCAUAAAGUUUGUUAAAAUGUUAAUAAAUAUGAUAUAAAAAUUA